AGCCUCAUUCUACAUGAAUGUGAGCCUGACUACUCCCAACAUCCAGAUAAUGUGAAUAUGGCCACAUUGACUCACUGGUUAUGCUUCCAUCACAGCAGGCUCAUUACCAUGGUGGCAAUGAGACUUGUGACAUUU